AGCGAACGCUGGCGGUAGGCUUAACACAUGCAAGUCGAACGGUAGCACAGUAAGAGCUUGCUCUGACGGGUGGCGAGUGGCGGACGUGAGAGGAAUACAUCGGAAUCUACUUUUUCGUGUGGGGUAACGUAGGGAAACUUACUCUAAUACCUCAUACGACCUACGCGUGAAAGCAGGUGAUCUUCGGACCUUGCGCGAGUGAAGGAGCCGAGGUCGGAUUAGCUAGUUGGCGGGGUAAAGGCCCACCAAGGCGACGAUCCGUAGCUGGUCUGAGAGGAUGAUAGGCCACACUGGAACAGAGAGACGGUCCAGACUCCUAGGGGAGGCAGGAGUGGGGAAUAUGGGACAAUGGGCGAAAGCCUGAUCCAGCCAUACCGCGUGGGUGAGGAAGGCAUUGGGGUUGUAGAGUCCUGUUGUUGGGACGGAAAAGCAGAAGCUUAAUACAUCGCUGUUCUGACGGUACCCGAAGAAGAAGCACCGGCUAACUUCGUG
rnacentral:rRNA from 1 species